CCCAAUCAGACCUGAGCUGGAGUUUGCCUGAAGGCAGCUUGUCAAGCUUGAGACUUCGCUCAGUCAGCUAGGCUAGUAAGUUGACCGAGCGCCGGGAAUCAUGGGAGGUUGAUGACAUCAUACAAAAUGGCUGCCCCCAUGAAUAAAACAUGAUAGGCAGUUCAGCUCGGUGAUUUUCGGCUAAAACUUGGAUUUGGAGGUCAGUAGCCCAAAUCAAAAUAUUUGGGCCCCUAACCAGCAUGUUUUUUGUCAUUUUUGGUCGCCAAAAUCGGUUUUUAGUUGCAAAUGGCGACCUGGCGACCGUCUAAAUCGAGCGCUGACAUUUGAGCAGAUAUGUGCUGUAGUUAAUCCAGUGGAGCUUAUCAUGGGCCUAUGGCAGUCUUAAGAGCAUUGUUUGGAUACGUAAUGGCCUCACCGGUUGUGUCGGAGCCAGUGCACUGUUUCUACAGCAUGCUUCUUGCGCUAGUAUGAUUCCCUGUGGAUAGCACGCCAGAAGAUAAGGGGAAAGAGAAAAUAGUUUCAUCAACUUUUGAUAAGUCUAUUCUCAAAGACAGACCCUAUUGACAACACUGAUAUACUGAUAAUAAAUCUGUAUCUGUUGCCGAUCUGAAUGCACACUGACUUUUGCAAAGCCACUGAAUCACAGCAGUAUAAAACCUAAUAUUGAUUUCUUUUUUCUUUUACCUUCAGUUUUAUUGUUGAUUGAACAGGAGUCAUGCCGGUACAAAGACCACAGCAGCGCAGUCACUCUGCUGGUAGAUAGCAAUAUAGACAAACAAGCUGGAGAAAAAUACAAAGCAAAGGACGAGGACAUCAAAUUGUAUUGAAGAACAAAGAAAAUAAACGUUGUAGAUACACACAGAUCGAGAGAUUGUUAGAUAUGGGUGGUAGAUUUGAACAGCCAAUGAGAAGUCAACAGAAAGGCCUUGAGAAACACUAUACAGUGAAAAAGAGUAGACUAGGAGAAAAGGAGGAAAGCAUUAAGACAUCGCAAGAGAGCACGAUGAAUGAAGAAAUAGUUUUGUUUGAAGUGAAAGCAGAGAUUAAAUGUUCGCAAGUAAAAGCUGAAAGUUGGUGUAAGUGGAAAACCAUUUGAACAGACUUUUUCUUGUGUGUGGUAUGAUUAGAAAAAAUGAAUAGAAGUCCAGAAAAAUGCUGAAGUGAACCUUGUGAUAAGGACCGAGAGGCGCAACACACAAAGGAAGUAAAUGACAGGCAUGUGAAGGAAACUGAAAAUAUGAGUAGUCAUCUGAAAAGAAGAAAACAUGGUGGCAAACUCUGAGCACCUGGCAAAAAAAGAGGAGAAAAUGUUUUUUUUUAAAAAGCAGGAGGUAGAUCGUUAAAGAACAGAGGUGGAGGGAGACAAUGGAGAAGGAGAGCUGACGAGACAGAAAGAGUUGGACGAAUGAGGAGGAAAAAGAAGGACGGACGGACGGACGGACGGACGGACGGACGGAGGAGACAUUAGGCGGGAAGGGAGAAGAAUAGGUAAAUGUUGGGGAGGUAAAAAGAGUUGGGAGGGAUACAAUGAGGGGGUAAGUGUUUAUGGAAGAUACGGUUGAGAUGGACAGAGGAUGAAGAGACGCAAAGAGAGAGAGUUAAAGAGAGACAGUGGGGCCCUCAGCAGUCAACACUAAUGAAGAAGAAUGAGGAGCUUAAGCUGCUUGCUGGCCCUGCUGACACACACACACACACACACACACACACACACACACACACACACACACACAUACACAUACACAUACACAUACACAUACACACACACAUACACACACACACACACACACACACACACACACACACACACACACACACAUCGUAAAAGCCUCUCAGGCGUUUUCACUUAAGUAUGUACUGCUCAAGUUUUGACACAAAAUUCAUGAAGCGAACAAGUAGUCGAACUCCAUUCACCUCAGUGCUAUGCAUGAAUAAAUAUUACAAAGUGUCUUGUAGCUUUUUUUUUAACUAGCUCUAAUUAACAACAAGAGUUUCCCUUAGUUUCCAGAUUUGUUCAGAGAUAAACCAUCUCAGGUUGAAAACUCAGCUAUAAGAGUUUCAAACCAGGGUUGCAAAUUAGCGCAUGUUGCUAUAAUUGGGGCUAAAGUCACUGUAGUAUUUUUAUUUUCUUUACAAAUUCAGAACUUUUCUACAAAGUUGAUGUACCAUAAAGCAGAUAGUACUUUUUAUCCGCUAACUUUAUUUGUGACUUUAUCCAUUGUGACUUCCUGCCCACUAGAGAAAACCACAAUGACGCUUGCAUAUAAAACAUGUUCAAUCUAACAUUUUGUAGUUCUCAUUGGUUUUUGCAAUGGGGUUGAGUUGAUUUAUUUUUUAAAAGGUGACAUUCAUUUGGAGCAUAUUUUUGUCAGAUUCUUGUUUCUCUUAUGCGCUCAGUUAAAGGUCUGUUUGUGCCUCAUUAGCUGUGACUGCCUGCAGACAAGUGAAAAAGAAAGUCUUAAGGAAUCCUUGAACUUUUUUCCACCCUAGCUGCAGUUUUGAACAAAAGUUGAUAACAACUCGCCAGAACUGUGGUGCAAUGCGUAGUGCACAGAUGAAAGCCUGCUGACCGAAAGUUUGAUAUUCCAUGUGUUAAUAUUUCUGAAUAUCUAUCUUGCCAGUGUAAGUGUUUAGUUUACAGUUGUUAAUAUGUAGAAAUUCCUGGAAUUUUUCUGUAAUUCCAGACAGAAGAAAAGACAAUAGACAUCUGUGGUGGUCACAUAUUGACAUACAUUUAUAUGCUGCCUAUAUGUAGCCCCAUGUGGAGAACAAUGUUUAUAAAGCACCUCUGACUCAGAGACUAAGACUAGAGCUCUAAAAAAAUCUUAUCAAGUGUCAAUAUCAUUUUUUUAAUAAAUAUUCUGUCCAUCGGAAAUAUGACUGAGCAGCCUUGGUGGAGAACUGCGCUCUCUGAGUGCCUUUCUUAUUACAUUAUUUUGCACAGUUGUUAAACGUAGUGGCUGGGACCAGUCAGUCAGCGCAGUCUUAGAACAUGAACACAGCGUGUUGUAAGAACCCUGAAUGUCAAAAUAUCGAAAGAUAGCAUAUCAGUUUACUGCACAUCAUCCAAGGAGGAUUCCACUUGGCUUUUCCACAGUGGCGAAGGUGGUUAAAAAGUUUAAAGAAACUGUCAGUGUCAUGGACAAACCCCUUUCUGGAUGACCAAAUGUGUCAGCCAAAAAUAAAGAACUGGUCAAAAAUCACUUCCCUAACCCUAACCUAUCUUUCGAUAUGUCCACUGAGAAGUACCAGUUCACCUCUUUCUUCUUUUGACAAAGCCAUAUUUCAUCUGCGGAGGAAAUAAAAUUAUAGUUAAUGAGAUUUCCUAUGUGUCCAGACUUUAGGGACAUCCUGUUUAAUCACAUCUGACUGCAAUGCUCAGCAGGUUGGGACACGCUUCACUCCACUGAGCUGUAAUGAUUGCAUGUUAGAUCAUUCUGACCCAGUAUGAGGAACAUAACCAGUGAUUUCACCAACUGAUCAACAGUUAAAUUCAUCGACAGAAAUCAUCAAGACAGAAAUAUAAUGGCAACGUGAUGGAAAAUGUAGGAAGAGUGAUGCAUCUCUAGCUUCUCUUUUCCUGUCUACAACAAUUCUGUUCUGCUCAAAAGGCAGGGAAAGCGGGUGUCUUGAUGCAUGCCAUAUAGUGGCAAUGUGUCGCCCUUUUUACCCACCGAUCAAUUACUGUGACAUUUGUGAUCAUAAAAAUGAAUAUACACUACCGUUCAAAAGUUGGGGUAAUUUCGAAAUGUCCUGAUUUUUGAAAGGAAAGCAUUUUUUUCAAUGAUGAUAACAUUAAAUGAAUCAGAAAUGCCGUCUAGACGUUGUUAAUGUGAUAAAUGACUAUUCUAGCUGGAAGCGACUGAUUUUUAAUGGAAUAUCUACAUAGAGGUACAGAGGAACAUUUCCAGCAACCAUCACUCCUGUGUUCUAAUGCUACAUUGUGUUAACUAAUUCAUUGAUAGACUAAUUGACGAUUAGAAAACCCUUGUGCAAUUAUGUUCGCACAUGAAUGAAAGUGUGAGUUUUCAUUGAAAACAUGAAAUUGCCUGCAUGACCCUAAACCUUUGAACAGUAGUGUAAGUUGUUCAUCUCUGCAUUGCUUUUCUUACACUGAACUGACCAUUGGACUGUUUUUGCAGUGUUUUGAGGCUCACAACUUUAUGCCAAAACUUACCAGGACCUUUAGUUAUUUCUGUUAUUUUCUUCCUGUUGCAAUGCUUUUCCCUUCAUCUCUGUAUUCACGAUGUCAUUAACUGUUAGGACAAGCCCGAAAGUUUUGCUUGUACACAGAGAAGACCGUCCAAGAUACACAAAUCAAAUCAAAACUAUUAGCCAAGUAUGUUCGGGCGAAGCCAGACUCCACAGCGAGGUAGCCAGCUGGUGACCUUAAACAACUGACUGUGUAGAGAUUUAGUCACAGUGACUGAUUUUCAACAUGGAACCAUGCUGACUUUUAGUUUGGGGCAGCUGCUGUGGAAGGUCUGGACUGUUCAGAAUGGUAAUAUUUUACUUUCCAAUCAAGUCAGAGCUGUCAUGAUUUCUUUCAAGCAUGGUUGAUUUUUACAAGCUGAGUUUGUACAAGUGUAGACCCAAAAUAUAAUGAAGGCUUCUGGUGAGAGUUUUUUCCACAAGAAGAAAGGAAGAAGAAAAAAAACUAAAUCACAACUACAAAAUGACCAGCAGUGGAAAGCAAAGUGCUCAAUAUUUCAUUGGUUUUGUUACUAUGAUAUGCAAAUUUGACUGAGGUGUUGUAUUUUCAGCAAAAUAAGUUCUUGGUGAUAGUUGUAUUCAUUCUGUCGUCAUUGUUGUGUGCUUUAUUUGUGGCACCUUUUAACACAAAAUCAUAUAAACGUAUCAAAUAUGAAUCACUUUAAGUUGUAUUUUCUGUUUGUGCCUCAUUGCAAUUUGGGUGUGUGUGUGUGUGUGUGUGUGUGUGUGUGUGUGUGUUCUUGUACUUGCUACAUUGUGAGAACCAUUUUCUGCAUUUAACUAUCAAAGUGAGGACAUUUUUACAAAGUGAGGACAUUUUGGCCGGUCCUCACUUUGAAACAGCCAUGUUUGAGGGUGAAGACUUGUUUUUAGAGAACAGGUAUGAAUUGAGGUUUGGUUAGGGUUAGGGUAAGGAUUAGGGUUAGGCGAUCAGUUGUGAUGGUUAAGGUUAGGGUAAGGCUCUAGGAAAUGCAUUACGCCUAUGGAUGUCCUCACUAAGAUAGAAGUACAAACAUGUGUGUGUGUGUGUGUUGGAUCCACUUAGAAAGUUUCAUACUGGAGACAGGAAAAACUGCUGAACUAAUUACCAGGUCCGGAGGGCUAGAAGUAACAUCCGUAUCAAACAAACAAAACAUGCUUAGAUGUUUUCUCUGUAACAUCUAAGCAUUGUUUAGCAUCAAAGCCUGUCAAACUGCCCAUGAUAAAGGGGAUAGAGAAUGUCUGUGAAGCACCUCAUGUGUAUUGGUACCUGAACCUACAUUCACAAAUACAACCUAGUACACACAAACACACGCAGCGCACUUGCCCAAAUAUAUUUGCAUCAGUGCCCAUGGUUUUUCGAAAAGUUUUUUGUCAGUUGGUUUAUCUGAAUGUUCGUCAGUUUGUUUUUGCUUUAGUCUCUUUUUUAUCUAUCUUUAAAGAAUUUUCCUUCAUCUGUCAAUUUUGUUUCUCUGCUUCUGCUUCCUUUAAACUACCACCUUUCAUCUAGCUCCUUCAUCUGUCUGCAAGUCUUUUUUUUCUUUCUCUUUGUCUGCCCCGCUCUCUUUGUCUCUCUUGUUCUAUUCCAUCUUGUCUCCUGUUUGUCUUUUUCUAAACCCCUCUCUUCUUUUUUUCAUGCUCUUCCUUCAUUUUUCUCUCCCCGCUCCACAGUUGACUUAUUGAUUUCAUUUUCAUACUGUUGGCAGUUGUUCCCUCCGUCAUAAACCAUCAGCGUUGCCUCCUUUCAAGCCGGCAUUGAUCAUUGUACAGCCGAUCACAACCAAUCUCCACCGAGCAUCAUUAUCUGCUCUUGCUUUUUCUCUUUUGUUGUUCGUCUGUCUUGUGUUGUGUGCUCUGUGGGUUAUAUUUUGUAAUCUAGCUAUUCAGUACUCUGGUGAAAUGACAGCCCUCUACAUUUAGGGGUUUAGGUAGUGAAUUAUGCUUCUCUGUUUUUUUUUUUUGUUUUUUUUACCCCAUGUAGAUUCUUAAGUAUUGUGAAAAAUAAAUCGGUUGGAAAGCUGAGGGCUUUAAAAGGACACUGCAUUGCAUGACUUUGAUUAGAAAUCAGAGCCUUGCUUAUCUUGUUGAAAAGAAAUUAAACUUUUACUGCCCAUGUCAUGGGGCUGCACAGUGACGUAGUGGUUAGCACUUUCGCCUUGCAGCAAGAAGAUCUCCAGUUCGAAUCCCGGCCUGGGAUCUUUCUGCAUGGAGUUUGCAUCUUCUCACUGUGCAUGCGUGGGUUUUCUCCGGGCACUCCGGCUUCCUCCCACAGUCCAAAAAUAUGCUGAGGUUAAUUGGUUACUCUAAAUUGUCUGUAGGUGUGAGUGUGAGUGUGAUUGUUUGUCUGUAUAUGUAGCCCUGUGACAGACUGGCGACCUGUUCAGGGUGUCCCCUGCCUCCGAGUCAGCUGGGAUAGGCUCCAGCACCCCCCGCGACCCUCGUGAGGAUAAAGCGGUGUAUAGAGAAUGGAUGGAUGGAUGGAUGCCCAUGUCAUGUUGGCGAGCUGACUUUACGAGGCUCAAAACCUCUGUUGUUGUUUUUUUUCCACUGAUUUGGUUAUUUAUUUGCACAAUCCAAAAUAAACAAAAUGAAGAAAAAUA